UUAAAUUGUGCCUUGACCGGAGAAAGUAUCAAUGGUGGUCUAAUCACGAAACAGAGUCAGAAGAAAGAUCUUGGUUCCAUUUUGUUUUGUUCUUUGCAGUCGUAAUCAGCACAAAGAAGAAAGUGGAAAGGCGCGCAUGCGAGGAAAGAAACAAACAGUUGGUGAAGAUUUGAAGGAACAGGAAAGGCCGCCAUUCGAAAAAGGAACAGUUGAUGAAGAUUUGAAGGAACAGGAAAAGGCGCGCAUGUGAGAAAGAAACAGUUGGUGAAGAUUUGUGAAGAUAAUAUGGGGAUAUGAUACACGCCUAGAUCACACCAAAAGGCAUUUUUUGAUCUAGAACAAUCAUCAUUUGAGAAAAUAAAAAUCUUGAGCAUGAGCAGUCGUCGCUGUUAGCGUGCAGACAAGGCAAAGUGGAGGGCAAGAAGAAGUUCAGUUUUCUAGCUUAAUGGACAGGGUGGGUGGGUGGGUGGAUGAUCUGUGCUCUCCUCCAUCCUCUUGACCUGAGGCGUUUACUUGCCCUUAUGACGCAAGCUUUGCCUGAUGUUUACAUCUGAUGCUAUUUUCCAUUCUCCCUGGCUCCACUGGCGCACUAUUAUGGACCAUGGACCGUGACGCUUUGGGGCCACCUUCUGAAUUCUGAAGCGGUUCAAGUAAAGUGGUGUAGCGUGUGAGGGCUGGCAGUGGCCCUUUUUUGUCUGAUGCUUGUAUGAUGUUAUGUUUCUUUGAAUGAUGUUUUUUUGAUGCUCGUUAGUGGGUGUAGAUGUACACUCUAGUUUCUUUCCCGUUGUUGCAGGAUCCCGUCUCUAAAUUGUGUACAGGUGGCUACUAAUAUUCAUUAUCUGAUUUCGUUUC